GAUGAACGCUGGCGGCGUGCCUAAUACAUGCAAGUCGAGCGAACAGAUAAGGAGCUUGCUCCUUUGACGUUAGCGGCGGACGGGUGAGUAACACGUGGGUAACCUACCUAUAAGACUGGGAUAACUUCGGGAAACCGGAGCUAAUACCGGAUAAUAUUUCGAACCGCAUGGUUCGAUAGUGAAAGAUGGUUUUGCUAUCACUUAUAGAUGGACCCGCGCCGUAUUAGCUAGUUGGUAAGGUAACGGCUUACCAAGGCGACGAUACGUAGCCGACCUGAGAGGGUGAUCGGCCACACUGGAACUGAGACACGGUCCAGACUCCUACGGGAGGCAGCAGUAGGGAAUCUUCCGCAAUGGGCGAAAGCCUGACGGAGCAACGCCGCGUGAGUGAUGAAGGUCUUCGGAUCGUAAAACUCUGUUAUUAGGGAAGAACAUACGUGUAAGUAACUAUGCACGUCUUGACGGUACCUAAUCAGAAAGCCACGGCUAACUACGUG
rnacentral:rRNA from 1 species